rnacentral:rRNA from 1 species
GACGAACGCUGGCGGCGUGCUUAGCACAUGCAAGUCGAACGGAAAGGCCCUGCUUGCAGGGUACUCGAGUGGCGAACGGGUGAGUAACACGUGGGUGAUCUGCCCUGCACUUCGGGAUAAGCCUGGGAAACUGGGUCUAAUACCGGAUAGGAGCCAUUUUUAGUGUGAUGGUUGGAAAGUUUUUUCGGUGUAGGAUGAGCUCGCGGCCUAUCAGCUUGUUGGUGGGGUAAUGGCCUACCAAGGCGGCGACGGGUAGCCGGCCUGAGAGGGUGGACGGCCACAUUGGGACUGAGAUACGGCCCAGACUCCUACGGGCGGCAGCAGUGGGGAAUAUUGCACAAUGGGCGCAAGCCUGAUGCAGCGACGCCGCGUGGGGGAUGACGGCCUUCGGGUUGUAAACUCCUUUCGCUAGGGACGAAGCUUUUUGUGACGGUACCUAGAUAAGAAGCACCGGCUAACUACGUG